rnacentral:tRNA from 1 species
GCCUGAGUGGCUCAGUUGGUUAAGCAUCUGACUUUGGCUCAGGUCAUGAUCUCCUGGUUUGUGGGUUUGAGUCCCACAUUCAGCU